AGAGUUUGAUCCUGGCUCAGAUUGAACGCUGGCGGCAUGCCUUACACAUGCAAGUCGAACGGCAGCACGGGGGCAACCCUGGUGGCGAGUGGCGAACGGGUGAGUAACGCAUCGGAACGUGUCCUCUUGUGGGGGAUAACCAGUCGAAAGGCUGGCUAGUACCGCAUGAGAUCGAGAGAUGAAAGCGGGGGACCGAAAGGCCUCGCGCGAGAGGAGCGGCCGAUGCCCGAUUAGCUAGUUGGCGGGGUAAGAGCCCACCAAGGCGACGAUCGGUAGCUGGUCUGAGAGGACGACCAGCCACACUGGGACUGAGACACGGCCCAGACUCCUACGGGAGGCAGCAGUGGGGAAUUUUGGACAAUGGGGGAAACCCUGAUCCAGCCAUGCCGCGUGGGGGAAGACGGCCCUCGGGUUGUAAACCUCUUUUCCAUGGGACGAGGAUGGACGGUACUGUGGGAAUAAGCAUCGGCUAACUCCGUGCCAGCAGCCGCGGUAAUACGGGGGAUGCGAGCGUUGUCCGGAUUCACUGGGCGUAAAGGGCGCGUAGGCGGCGCUGCAAGUCAAUUGUGAAAUCUCCGAGCUUAACUCGGAACGGUCAAUUGAUACUGCAGUGCUAGAGUGCAGAAAGGGCAACCGGAAUUCUUGGUGUAGCGGUGAAAUGCGUAGAUAUCAAGAGGAACACCUGAGGCGAAGGCGGGUUGCUAGGCUGACACUGACGCUGAGGCGCGAAAGCUAGGGUAGCAAACGGGAUUAGAUACCCCGGUAGUCCUAGCCCUAAACGAUGAAUGCUUGGUGUCUGGAGUUUUUAUUCUCCGGGUGCCGUCGCUAACGUUUUUAGCAUUCCGCCUGGGGAGUACGGUCGCAAGACUGAAACUCAAAGGAAUUGACGG
rnacentral:rRNA from 1 species